UGAAUCAUAGAAUUGAUACGUGUGAUAG
rnacentral:piRNA from 1 species